GCGGGAGUAACUCAGUGGUAGAGUGCUAGCUUCCCAAGCUGGAAGUCGCGGGUUCGAAUCCCGUCUCCCGCU
rnacentral:tRNA from 1 species